GCAAUGCCAUAUAGUGAUAUCGAAAUAGCACAGUCUUUGUAGGCAGGCAGAUAGUCUGGAGCCUCACUGUAAUAUAGAUCAUUGAUUAAAUAAUGCCUGGUUUCUUCCCUAAAGGAUGGAGUAGGAGGAAAAAAAUGUUAUAAAAGGUGAAAAAGUGUGCCUUGGAACCAAAAUGAUAUGCACUUUGAGGUAAACACAUACCAGUUUCUUUGCUGUAGAAAUGGAUAAUAUCACCUCACAUGGCAAUGCAAAACAGAAUAGUGUGGUGAAGGUGGGUGAGAUUAUUUAUGCUUCUUCUUUUUUUUUUUUUUUUGAGGGAAUCAUUUCUUGAUGAAAAACAACACACAGAACUGGAAUCUGCAUCUUUCCAUUCAGAAAUUUUUUUUUUUACUCUUAUGCACAUACACGUGUGUAUGUUCUCAUACACAUGCACAUGUACAUACACAUGUACACACACAGUUUACCCAUGAAUACAAAUACAUUUGUGAUAUCUCAGUGUUGUUGUUAUUCACAUUAUCUAUACACAAAGCCGAGAACAGGAGGCUCUGAGUCCAUGAAACAGAUCAAGGUGGUUUGUACGCAUCUUAGGUUGUAUUCUGGACGUCUUCCCUGAGAUAUCCAGGAACUGUCCUGAGAUCGCUGGGUGGGUCUUGGUGAAGCCCCUUCUAGUCUUAAAGAUUUUGGCUGCAGGUGGAGAUGAUCUGAGCUUCUCAAACAUAAGAGCAUAGUAUCUGCCAGUGUUAAAGAGCAAAGGGGGCUCCCUGUCUGAUGUGCUAGAAACCAAUACUAUGACACCAGGUUUUUGAAAAAAGAAGUUUUUGUUCAAUGCCAAUUUCCAAGGAGAUAGGAGUCAAGCUCAACUCUGUCUCCGCUGACUGGCUUCAAGGCAAUAUUUAUGUCAGAAAAGAUUCAAGGGGUGGAUUUUGAGAUGGGUAGGUAAUUCCUGGAGGGAAGGGGGGGUCUCGACAGUCCUGGGACAUGCACAGUUAUUUCUUCAUCCUAACCCAUGGGUGGCUUCUGCAAAUUCGGGAGAGUUGGCAUGAAACAUGCAGUGGAAAUUCAGUCUGUGACACCAGCAAGCUCGUUCUGUGCAAACUCUAGUCAUGACUGAAAUGUUAAUCUCCUUGGGCAGCACCUUCACAGACACACCCAGGAACAAUACUUUGCAUCCUUCAACUUGAUUAAGUUGACAAUUAUUAUUAUUAUUAUCAUAUAGGUGGUUUGCUUUCUCGGGUUGUGUUUUGCCUGUGGGCUGGAAUGACAGGCAUCUUGUCCCUUCUCAGCAAAGCUUUGAAACCCUCCCAACCCAGAGGGGCCCCAGGGAAGUGGCACUUUUUGCUUUCAUCUCAGAGAGGUGAGAGGCAGGCACAGUUCCAAUCCCAGGAGGCACUGGGGCUGGAGACGGGGGAUGGAUUUCUUCUAGUUUUUGUUGUUGUUUUAAUUUCCAAAUGCAUUUCUCCAAGGGUUGGGGGAGGCUGCGGAGCGCGGGGAAGUCUGAGCACCCAGGAGCCUGUGUGGCUGUGAUUAGAUGGCUUAGGCCCAGCAGCAGCAGCUGUUAAUCCUGACUAUUAAUUAGAAGAUAUGGGGAGAGAAUACCAGCCUGCGAGCUCAGUUAAGCCUGAGCAGCACUCUGCCUUCUUCUGCAGCGUAAUCCCCUUUGAGACUUGGGAAAGCGUGGGCCCCAAGAGAAGAACCAGGAGGGUCGGUAUAGGCAGAUACCUGCCAUCAAAGGCCCAGAUGUCUCUGCUCCCAGAAGUUGCCAGCUCUUCCGUAGGGACAGUACUUUACAGUCUCCUAAACCCAUUCAAAUGUGCUUCAAAGGUACCUGUCUUUAUUCCUAUUUGGAAGGCCAGUAGGGAAGCCUUGGAGAGCCUGUGGGAAAUGCAACAAUGAGUGUAGCGGUC
rnacentral:lncRNA from 1 species